rnacentral:lncRNA from 1 species
CUUUCUUACACUGUUUAAUGUUCAAUUCCAGCACAUAGAAUCCUUACAAACAAUGUUCAUAAUAUGAAAUGGAAAAAUAAUUUCCAUUUCUUGUUGAGUUUUGGCGCUGUUCAGUUCUUCCUAUGAGGUUCAAGGUACUUGCACUACACUAUCUAGUUUAUAGGUUUAAAGAAUUUCUGGUUUUUGCAUCAAAUAGCAAGGUUUAUUUUCAAGAUUUCUUUUUCAUAAAACUACUUCAAAACGUGUACAUAUUUGUCUAUUCAUAAAGUUUUAAAUGAGAAUUUAUAAGCAUUGUGUUCUUAACUUCUUCGGCAAGUUUGGUAAAUCAGAUUAGAAACAUCAGAAAAUCAUUUGUUACCAUCUAAUACUGCAUAGCAACGUGCACUUAUUGAGUUAUACAUAAAUUUGGAAUAUCGAUCUCGAUCUCGAACUCCCCCUACCCCGCCUCUUCCCUACUUCUGGACUGGAGGUUGAAAUUUUUUGGAUAAGUUCUAUAUACAAAUUGCAAAUUUUGUUUUGGGAUGGAGCAUUAGGGAAUUUAACUAUGUAUUGUGAAGUAAAGGAAGUUAAAUGGUCAAAUAAUUAAAAUGUUGCAGGGAAGCAUUUUUCUUGCUCAGCUUUCAUCAUGCAAGGAAACAGAUAAAACACUGGAAAAGAAAUUGAACAUGAAGCCUGGAUACUAUUCAACUGCUGCCCAGAAUUCCUAGCAACAGUGUCUUAGUAUGUGUCCUUGUGCUGAUAUACAACAAGAGUUCCCCUUCAAACUUCAAGUUUACGUUAUGGCAUGUUUGAUACUGGAAAUUAAAUCCUGUUAUUCAUUGUAAUUUUGUGACGUAUUCAGUACUAUGUGACAAAUAUGCAUUUGGUUUUAUUCUUAAUAAUUCUAAUCUAUAUUGUGUAAUCAGACAGUAUAUUCGAUUUGUUCAUCUUUUUUAGCUAAUGAUAUAAUGAUCAACAUCAAUAGAUUUUCUACAA